rnacentral:rRNA from 1 species
UCUGACCUCAAAUCAGGUAGGGCUACCCGCUGAACUUAAGCAUAUCAAUAAGCGGAGGAAAAGAAACUAACAAGGAUUCCCCUAGUAACGGCGAGUGAACCGGGAAGAGCUCAAAUUUGUAAUCUGGCGUCCUCUGGGCGUCCGAGUUGUAAUCUAUAGAAGCGUUUUCCGUGCCGGACCAUGUCCAAGUCCCUUGGAACAGGGUAUCAAAGAGGGUGACAAUCCCGUACUUGACAUGRCCACCGGUGCUCUGUGAUACGUUCUCUACGAGUCGAGUUGUUUGGGAAUGCAGCUCAAAAUGGGUGGURAAUUCCAUCUAAGGCUAAAUAUUGGCGAGAGACCGAUAGCGAACAAGUACCGUGAGGGAAAGAUGAAAAGCACUUGGAAAGAGAGUAA